rnacentral:rRNA from 1 species
GCCAGACUCCUACGGGAGGCAGCAGUGGGGGAUAUUGCACAGUGGGGGGAACCCUGAUGCAGCGACGCCGCGUGGGUGAAGAAGUAUUUCGGUAUGUAAAGCCCUAUCGGCAGGGAAGAAAUUGGACGGUACCUGACUAAGAAGCCCUGGCUAACUACGUGCCAGCAGCCGCGGUAAUACGUAGGGGGCAAGCGUUAUCCGGAUUCACUGGGUGUAAAGGGAGCGUAGACGGCCAUGCAAGCCUGGAGUGAAAGCCCGGGGCCCAACCCCGGGACUGCUCUGGGAACUGUGCGGCUGGAGUGCGGGAGGGGCAGGCGGAAUUCCUGGUGUAGCGGUGAAAUGCGUAGAUAUCAGGAGGAGCACCGGCGGCGAAGGCGGCCUGCUGGACCGCGACUGACGUUGAGGCUCGAAAGCGUGGGGAGCAAACAGGAUUAGAUACCCUAGUA